GGGAAGCAAGCCUUAUGUAGCCCGAGGUGGAAAGGACUCACUCUUGAAAGGAGCUAGCCUAAUAUCGCCCAAUAUAGAAGAGACACUCGAGGGAAGAUUAUUGAGAAUAUGCAAAUACGAGUUAUGUGGGAAUAAAAUUCAUGCAUAGGAAAGAGAUGGAGGAACUCACACAGUAAAACUCAAGUUGAGUGAAAGGAUUCCAUUCAAGGGGCAAGCAUAGCGUAGCCUAAUAAGGAAUAAACCCAUGCAUAAGGGGGAGUAGAUCCAAUGCAGCCUUUGUGGAGGAGAGACUCACACUUAAGAGAAGAUUGUAUAGGAAUAUGCAAGUGUGAGUAGAGUUCUGUGGGGAAAAAA
rnacentral:misc_RNA from 1 species